rnacentral:rRNA from 2 species
GGGUUGUGAGGUUAAGCGACUAAGCGUACACGGUGGAUGCCCUGGCAGUCAGAGGCGAUGAAGGGCGUGCUAAUCUGCGAUAAGCGCCGGUAAGGUGAUAUGAACCGUUAUAACCGGCGAUACCCGAAUGGGGAAACCCAGUGUGAUUCGUCACACUAUCAUUAACUGAAUCCAUAGGUUAAUGAGGCGAACCGGGGGAACUGAAACAUCUAAGUACCCCGAGGAAAAGAAAUCAACCGAGAUUCCCCCAGUAGCGGCGAGCGAACGGGGAGGAGCCCAGAGCCUGAAUCAGCAUGUGUGUUAGUGGAAGCGUCUGGAAAGGCGCGCGAUACAGGGUGACAGCCCCGUACACAAAAGCGCAUGUGCUGUGAGCUCGAUGAGUAGGGCGGGACACGUGGUAUCCUGUCUGAAUAUGGGGGGACCAUCCUCCAAGGCUAAAUACUCCUGACUGACCGAUAGUGAACCAGUACCGUGAGGGAAAGGCGAAAAGAACCCCGGCGAGGGGAGUGAAAAAGAACCUGAAACCGUGUACGUACAAGCAGUGGGAGCACAGGUUUACCUGUGUGACUGCGUACCUUUUGUAUAAUGGGUCAGCGACUUAUAUUCUGUAGCAAGGUUAACCGUAUAGGGGAGCCGGAGGGAAACCGAGUCUUAACCGGGCGUUAAGUUGCAGGGUAUAGACCCGAAACCCGGUGAUCUAGCCAUGGGCAGGUUGAAGGUUGGGUAACACUAACUGGAGGACCGAACCGACUAAUGUUGAAAAAUUAGCGGAUGACCUGUGGCUGGGGGUGAAAGGCCAAUCAAACCGGGAGAUAGCUGGUUCUCCCCGAAAGCUAUUUAGGUAGCGCCUCGUGAAUUCAUCUCCGGGGGUAGAGCACUGUUUCGGCUAGGGGGCCAUCCCGGCUUACCAACCCGAUGCAAACUGCGAAUACCGGAGAAUGUUAUCACGGGAGACACACGGCGGGUGCUAACGUCCGUCGUGAAGAGGGAAACAACCCAGACCGCCAGCUAAGGUCCCAAAGUCAUGGUUAAGUGGGAAACGAUGUGGGAAGGCCCAGACAGCCAGGAUGUUGGCUUAGAAGCAGCCAUCAUUUAAAGAAAGCGUAAUAGCUCACUGGUCGAGUCGGCCUGCGCGGAAGAUGUAACGGGGCUAAACCAU